UACGUAGGGGCCGAGCGUUGUCCGGAGUUAUUGGGCGUAAAGCGCGCGCAGGCGGCCUCGCGCGCCCGACGUGAAAGCCCCCGGCUUAACCGGGGAGGGUCGUUGGGGACGGCGGGGCUUGAGGGCGGGAGAGGGUGGUGGAAUUCCCGGUGUAGUGGUGAAAUGCGUAGAGAUCGGGAGGAACACCCGUGGCGAAGGCGGCCACCUGGGCCGACCCUGACGCUGAGGCGCGAGGGCGUGGGGAGCGAACGGG
rnacentral:rRNA from 1 species